GACGAACCGUGCGAACGUUGUUCGGAUUCACUGGGCUUAAAGGGCGCGUAGGCGGGCUGCCAAGUCAGGGGUGAAAGCUCCCGGCCCAACCGGGAAAGGGCCUUUGAUACUGGCGGCCUCGAGGGAGGUAGGGGCACGCGGAACUUCCGGUGGAGCGGUGAAAUGCGUAGAUAUCGGAAGGAACGCCGGUGGCGAAAGCGGCGUGCUGGACCUCUUCUGACGCUGAGGCGCGAAAGCCAGGGGAGCGAACGGG
rnacentral:rRNA from 1 species